rnacentral:rRNA from 1 species
CCUACGGGAGGCAGCAGUGGGGAAUAUUGGGCAAUGGAGGAAACUCUGACCCAGCAACGCCGCGUGAAUGAUGAAGGUCUUCGGAUUGUAAAGUUCUUUUCUAAGGGAAGAAGAAAGUGACGGUACCUUAGGAAUAAGCCUCGGCUAACUACGUGCCAGCAGCCGCGGUAAUACGUAGGAGGCAAGCGUUAUCCGGAAUGACUGGGCGUAAAGGGGGCGUAGGGGGUUUGACAAGUUGGUAGCGUAACUCCGGGGCUCAACCUCGGCACUACUACCAAAACUGUCGGACUUGAGUGCAGGAGGGGCAAAUGGAAUUCCUAGUGUAGCGGUGGAAUGCGUAGAUAUUAGGAGGAACACCAGGGGCGAAGGCGAUUUGCUGGACUGUAACUGACACUGAGGCACGAAAGCGUGGGGAGCAAACAGGAUUAGAUACCCCAGUAGUC